rnacentral:lncRNA from 1 species
GACAUCACAUAUAAAACACCAUGGUUCAGAUACUAAAAAAAACUCAGUGACAAUUAACCUUAAUAUAUCAGAAUAUUUAAAAAUUACCCAAACAAAUGGAGUUGCGUACCCUUUAAGGACCCUAGCUAGUGGGGAACACGAUCGAUGACCUCAUCAGCAGAGUAACAGCAAGACCCACAAACAGAUUAAUCAGUCGUCUGAUGCUCCGGUAGCAGAAGCCGUCGCCGAUCACCGCUGUAACCGCCAUAGCUACAAUCUAAGAUAGUAUUUUGUCAGCUUAUUAAGGAGAAUGUAUUUUUGGAAAAAGUAAAAAUAAAAGAGGAUAGAGCUAGGAUCUGACAAGUGGUCUCUUCCUUCUUGGUGGCUUCCCACAUGCCGACAUUCUUAUCCAUUUGAAGCUCCACUUCCCACACAGACUCGCACAGUCCAAUCUAUCCUAAACAGGCAUACGACAAAGUCGUGAGUCACGCGAUCUAUGAGUCUUCAACUUAAUAUUCCUUUAGCUAAUGUUUCUUAUAUGCUCCUCAGAAUACUCUUAUAUGAGUGUUAAACUAUAGUACAGGGCUCCA